GACGAACGCUGGCGGCGUGCUUAACACAUGCAAGUCGAACGGCAAGGCCCUACUUUUGUGGUGUGCUCGAGUGGCGAACGGGUGAGUAACACGUGAGUAACCUGCCCUUGACUUUGGGAUAACUUAAGGAAACUAGAGCUAAUACCAUAUAGCAUCUCCUGCUGCAUUGUGGGGGUUGGAACGUUUCGGCGGUUGUGGAUGGACGCGCGGCUUAUCAGCUUGUUGGUUGGGGAGUGGCUUACCAACGGUUUGACGGGUAGCCGGCCUGAGAGGGUGACCGGCCACCUGGGGCCUGCGAGACGGACCAGUGGCGUACGUGAGGCAGCAGUGGGGAACCUGGUACAACGGGACCAAGUCGGAGGCAGCAACGCCGCGGGUGGGAAGACGGCCUGUUGGUUGUAAAACGCAUCAGCCUGUGACGAAGCGUGAGUGACGGUAAUGGGUAAAGAAGCACCGGCUAACUACGUG
rnacentral:rRNA from 1 species